UACGGAGGGGGCGAGCGUUAUUCGGAAUUACUGGGUGUAAAGGGUGCGUAGGCGGCGCGGUAAGUCGGGUGUGAAAUCUCGGAGCUUAACUCCGAAACUGCAUUCGAUACUGCCGUGCUUGAGGACUGGAGAGGAGACUGGAAUUUACGGUGUAGCGGUGAAAUGCGUAGAUAUCGUAAGGAAGACCAGUGGCGAAGGCGGGUCUCUGGACAGUUCCUGACGCUGAGGCACGAAGGCCAGGGGAGCAAACGGG
rnacentral:rRNA from 1 species